AAAAAAAAAGGAUGUCAAGGUUGGUUCAGGAGAAGAAGAUAGGUGCAGGACGUGUGGUAGCAGUGGCAAUUGAAAAUAACAAAACAAGCCAAUAUGCAGCAAAAUGGGCUGUUGAUAAUCUUCUUCCCAAAGAACAAGCGCUCUUACUGCUCCAUGUUAGACAGAGAGCAUCUUCCAUUCCUACACCAACGGGAAAUCUUAUACCUCUUGAUGGCAACGAUGAUGUGGCUAGAGCAUACAUGCAACAGAUGGACAACGAAUCUAAAGAACUUUUCGCUUCGUUUCGGGUCUU
rnacentral:sRNA from 1 species